UACGAAGGGGGCUAGCGUUGUUCGGAUUUACUGGGCGUAAAGCGCACGUAGGCGGACUAUUAAGUCAGGGGUGAAAUCCCUCGGCUUAACCCGGGAACUGCGUCCGAUACUGGUGGGCUCGAAUCCGGGAGAGGGAUGCGGAAUUCCAGGUGUAGCGGUGAAAUGCGUAGAUAUCUGGAGGAACACCGGUGGCGAAGGCGGCAUCCUGGACCGGUAUUGACGCUGAGGCGCGAAAGCGUGGGGAGCAAACAGG
rnacentral:rRNA from 1 species